CGGGGUGUAGCUCAGCCCGGUAGAGUGCUACGUUCGGGACGUAGAAGUCGGAGGUUCGAGUCCUCUCACCCCGA
rnacentral:tRNA from 1 species